AUUGAACGCUGGCGGCAUGCCUUACACAUGCAAGUCGAACGGCAGCACGGGAGCAAUCCUGGUGGCGAGUGGCGAACGGGUGAGUAAUAUAUCGGAACGUGCCCAGUAGUGGGGGAUAACUGCUCGAAAGAGCAGCUAAUACCGCAUACGACCUGAGGGUGAAAGGGGGGGAUCGCAAGACCUCUCGCUAUUGGAGCGGCCGAUAUCAGAUUAGCUAGUUGGUGGGGUAAAGGCCUACCAAGGCAACGAUCUGUAGUUGGUCUGGGAGGACGACCAGCCACAAUGGGACUGAGACACGGCCCAGACUCCUACGGGAGGUAGCAGUGGGGAAUUUUGGACAAUGGGCGCAAGCCUGAUCCAGCAAUGCCGCGUGCAGGAAGAAGGCCUUCGGGUUGUAAACUGCUUUUGUCAGGGAAGAAAUCCUCUAGGUUAAUACCCUUGGGGGGAUGACGGUACCUGAAGAAUAGGCACCGGCUAACUACGUGCCAGCCGCCGCCGUAACAC
rnacentral:rRNA from 1 species